rnacentral:rRNA from 1 species
UACAGAGGGUGCAAGCGUUGUUCGGAAUUAUUGGGCGUAAAGGGUGCGUAGGCGGUUUGGUAAGUCUUAUGUGAAAUCUAUGGGCUCAACUCAUAGACUGCAUGAGAAACUGCCGGGCUUGAGUAUGGGAGAGGUGAGUGGAAUUCCUGGUGUAGCGGUGAAAUGCGUAGAUAUCAGGAGGAACACCUGUGGCGAAAGCGGCUCACUGGACCAUAACUGACGCUGAUGCACGAAAGCUAGGGGAGCAAACAGG